rnacentral:lncRNA from 1 species
GUGUGAGUGGUGUGUAGAGUUAGAUAUCUUGUUUUUUCUUUUAUGUUUCCCUUUCUUGGUGCUAUCUUAUUUUUUUCUUCCUAUUCAUGAUUAAGGUUAUCAUUUUUAUUUAGUUGUUAUGGUAGAAUUAAGUAUAUUGUUUUUUGUGUCAAAAUUACCCUGGUUUUGGCGGGGAUGGUGACCAAGAUGGGGACGCCAUUCCUGUCACUUCGGCACGGCUUUAGGUGUGUUACUGAAGCUACUGUCACUGUGGAGGAGUUUCUGGUCGCCGUAGGAGAGAAGACCAUUUCCGGAGACCUUCUCCCCUACCUCACCUCGCUCAUCAACGCAUCCUUGACCGCUGGCUACGUCCCUUCCGUCUUCAAGAGAGCGAGAGUUGCACCCCUUCUGAAAAAACCUACACUCGAUCCCUCCGAUGUCAACAACUACAGACCUAUCUGCUGCCUUUGAUACCGUGAACCAUCAGAUCCUCCUCUCCACCCUCUCCGAGCUGGGCAUCUCCGGCACCGCGCACGCUUGGAUUGCGUCCUACCUGACAGGUCGCUCCUACCAGGUUCCCUUGGAGAGUUCAUC